rnacentral:lncRNA from 10 species
CAAAGUGUGAAGUUCAAGAUCUUUCCAGAGGGGAGCAUGGAAUAAGAGUAAAUCAGAGUUUGUGCCAGUCCUUUUACUUUUUAAGCCCAAAUACCUUGUAAGUGCCCCUCUGUGACCAUUUAUCCAUCUCAAAUUUGUAUUUGUUUUUACCUGGUUUCUACUGCAUACAAAUACAUGGUGGGUAGGAGAGUGGGGAGUGCCAUGGAAGAAAGGAGAGCCUGUACUGUUUAGGAAGGCCCUGUCUCCUCAUUUUGGUACUUGUUCUCCUCUAGAAUGCCCUCCUUCAAGGCAGAGUGUAUGUGUGUAAAAGGCAAUUCUGUUCAAUCGUCCAAGGUGACAAUCCAGCUGCCUGAUUCUUGAAGCCACUUGAUUUUGGCAGGAGUGUGUGACUCCACCUCAACCCACUCCCCUUCCAAGAAAUAAAAAUAACUCCACUGUGCUUGGGCUGUCACCAGUUCACCAGACUCCAGGGAAGCUCCUGUCUGUGAUGUCGCAUUCAUUUCUGAAUGCUGGCAUUGUACUUUGAAAUUCCCAAACAAAAUGCACAGAGAAACACCAGGUGAAUAACAAUGAAACCAGCAGCAUUUAUUUUUGUGCGUGGCAGUCUCAGCUACAUUUUUGUAAAAGACCUUUUUGCCAAAAUUAGUUUAGGUUUCAAGUCACGUUUCACCCUCAGUCAAAUAUAAAGGUCACUCAGUGAACAAAGGGGAGAUUGUGUAUUCUUGGUGAUCACAGAUGAAGCUGGAAAGGCAGCCUCUUUCAAACAAAAUGAGGUAGUUAAGUGGAAAAUGAAGGCGGCGAAUUCUAUAGAGCAGCGCUCAACAACAAGGGAUGCUGGCGUUUUUUUUCUUGACAUAAACACAAUAACACAUAGAGAAAAGCCUAACAGAGAGGAGAGUGACCCAGGUGCUGUAUAAACAGAUUUUCAGACAGGCAGUUGGAGCCCCGUGGUAUGUUUAGUUUCUCCCACUCCCUGCUACUUUAUCCUUUGUCAGAUUCAAUACAGCCUUCAAGGGCACUGGAGGCAGAAGAAAGAGAAAAAUGCCUGGGGAAGGGAAAAGGGGAGGGGGAGAAAACAGUCUCCUCUCCUAGCCUUUGUUAAAGAAUAAAAGCGCAAAACGUGUAAAAAUCAUUUACUCUCUACCCGACAGUGCCAACAUGUUUGACACUGGUUUGCUAGAGCUUAUAGAGAAACUCUGUUGACAUUUUAUUCACAUAAGAGUUUUGAAUUAUAUAAGGCUUUUUGAGAUGCGCUGUUGGAUAUAAUCUGAAUAGUCAAGCUUAGGGGGGGAGAAAAACCACAUAACACCCAGUAACUCUUAAAUGUUUAUAUAAAUCCCAAAGUGGAAAGAAAGGAUAAAAUGGUAAGAACAAAAAUAUUUGCUUAUUCUUAGACAGCAACCUAAUACACCUGUGUCAAAAAUAAAAAUUACACUUUGAAAAGGACAUGCAAAUGCCCAACUUUUUCCCAGAGCUUCUCUCUUAUCCUUUAGGUAAGGGAACUUAGGACUUAAAUAUAAUAAGCAAACACAGCGGGAUUCAAGAGAUUCUGUCCUUCUGCAGGUGAUACAUUUUGAUACUUUAUUUUCUUUUGACAAAUGCACAUAUAUUUUUAAUUAAGUACAUCUAUUCAUUGCAGUGAAAUUAGAACGUACAGAUAAAGAAAAAACAAACACGUCUAACCUUACUUUUCAGAUAAUCAUAGUUAAAAUUUUUCUAUAUUUUAAAUACUUUUUCUAUGUGCAUACAAUAUGCAUAAUACAUACAUACACAUACUAUAAAAUUAAAAUAUUCAGUUUAUGUUGUUUUGCAAUCUGUUCAAUAAAAUAUGUUGUAUACUCAUUUUUAUGUCCUAUAGUUACUUCAUCAUUUUUAAUGGUUGCAUAGUAUUUCGUCAUAUGAAUGGACCAUAAUAUGCAUGAGAAAUAUUGUAUUGUUGGAUGUUUAAUUGGUUUCUAAAUUUUUUGAUGUUGCUAAUAAUGUUGCAACAAAUUCCAUUAUUUU